GAUGAACGCUGGCGGCGUGCCUAAUACAUGCCAGUCGAGCGAACAGACGAGGAGCUUGCUCCUCUGACGUUAGCGGCGGACGGGUGAGUAACACGUGGAUAACCUACCUAUAAGACUGGGAUAACUUCGGGAAACCGGAGCUAAUACCGGAUAAUAUAUUGAACCGCAUGGUUCAAUAGUGAAAGGCGGUUUUGCUGUCACUUAUAGAUGGAUCCGCGCCGCAUUAGCUAGUUGGUAAGGUAACGGCUUACCAAGGCGACGAUGCGUAGCCGACCUGAGAGGGUGAUCGGCCACACUGGAACUGAGACACGGUCCAGACUCCUACGGGAGGCAGCAGUAGGGAAUCUUCCGCAAUGGGCGAAAGCCUGACGGAGCAACGCCGCGUGAGUGAUGAAGGUCUUCGGAUCGUAAAACUCUGUUAUUAGGGAAGAACAAAUGUGUAAGUAACUAUGCACGUCUUGACGGUACCUAAUCAGAAAGCCACGGCUAACUACGUG
rnacentral:rRNA from 1 species